CUGAAAUUUUAAAUGUAUGCUCUAUAGAUGAUGAGAAGACGUCCAAAUAAUGCAUCUUAAGAAAUCAACCCCUUUUUGGGGUAAAAACGGGGGAUGGUAGGUUGACUCACUGAUCACGAAAUCUCCGAAACUAUAACACCUACAAACUUGAAAUUUGGCAGGAAGGCUUUUUAUAGAGCGUAGACAUCCGCUAAGAACGGAUUUUACGAAACUCGACCCCUAAGGGGGCAAAACGGGGGUUGCAAGUUUGUAUGAAAGUCCUAUGUUUUUGAAGUAAGAGACCUGAAAUUUUAAAUGUAUGCUCUAUAGAUGAUGAGAAGACGUCCAAAUAAUGCAUCUUAAGAAAUC
rnacentral:misc_RNA from 1 species